GUCGAUUAGGUGUUGUUUACAUAUCAGUUUUUCGUACUGGGGUGAGUCUUGUUUUAGUGA
rnacentral:tRNA from 1 species